CUCAAAUCAGGUAGGACUACCCGCUGAACUUAAGCAUAUCAAUAAGCGGAGGAAAAGAAACUAACAAGGAUUCCCCUAGUAACUGCGAGUGAAGAGGGAAGAGCUCAAAUUUAAAAUCUGACGGGUCCUUUGACUGUCCGAGUUGUAAGUUAGAGAAGCGUUUAUCCGCGCCAGCCUGUGCAAAAGUCUCUUGGAAAAGGGCAUCAUAGAGGGUGACAAUCCCGUCUUUGGCACAGAUCACUGGGGCUUUUGUGAUGCGCUCUCGAUGAGUCGAGUUGUUUGGGAAUGCAGCUCUAAAUGGGUGGUAAAUUCCAUCUAAAGCUAAAUAUUGGCGAGAGACCGAUAGCGCACAAGUACCGUGAGGGAAAGAUGAAAAGAACAUUGAAAAGAGAGUCAAACAGUACGUGAAAUUGUUGAAAGGGAAACGCUUGAAGUCAGUCGCGUCCUCUGGAAAUCAACUUGACCUUUUGGUUGAGUGCACUUUCCAUUUGGAUGGGUCAGCAUCAAUUUUGACUGUCAGAUAAAGACCGUAUGGGAAAGUGACAUUCUUUAUUGGAUGUGUUAUAGCCCUGGGUUCAGAUAUGAUAGUUGGGAUUGAGGAACUCGAAGACUGUCCUUUGAUGGUCUUUCUAGGAUGCUGGCAUAAA
rnacentral:rRNA from 1 species